GUGCGGUACAAGGCACUGCCUGUCUCAGGGCUUUGUGAGUGUUAGGUCCUGACAAACUGUAACUGCCUUUACAAUCAGGACAGGGUUUUAAGCUACUGCAUGUUGAAUAUCAGUUACUUCAGCUAUAAAGCAAGCCAACACUCAGCUGCAUGUGUGUAGGAUUGAAAGUAGUGCUUUUAAAUGUGACUGGAAGAAAUACUUGGUGGAUAGCAACAAAAACUAAUAGAUAAUUUUGUUAAUUUUAUUUAAUAUGUUAUUUUCUCAGAGACCUAAGUCUGAAAUCUGGAUAGUUUUUGCACUUUUGUGAACAGAUCAGUGUCUUUUGGCUGACAUAGAAAAUACAAAUAUUAAGCUCUGAAUGUUUUUAGAUAAAAAAUUUUAUAUAUAUAAAAGUUGACAGACAUGUCAGAUUGUUUAUAGCAGGCUGAUGUUCUCCUGUCAGGAGAAACUGUAUCAGUGAGUGCUGCAUGGCUCAGGGCAGCGGUCAUUAGAAGGCUGUGCAGCAGCAGCUUGAGGGUUCUCUGGUGUUUGCAGGUUGGUGAGCAGUCAGCUCUGAUGUUUCCUCACUUUUGGAGGAAGUUGGAGAUGCAGACAGCAUUAUAAGAGAUAGGUCUUAAGGGAUAAAAGUAUUUGGUACCCCAGAGUUAGGGAAUGUGUGCAGUUGGUACUGGCUCUAUGUUCACCAGCAGAUUCCCUACAGAACUGCAGUACUUACCAGCUGGCAGUAAAAGCACUACCUCAGGUUACCUUGAGCUGUUGUGCUGGGAUAGGAGCAAGGUGCUAGAGGAGCGUGCUCAGCAGCUGUGUGCAGAAGCCAAGGGUGGGGAUCCACUGGUGAAUCCUUUGGCUCUUCCUUAGAGCUUCAGCAGUGCAUCCUGUAGAGCAUUGUCUGUAAUAGCACUGUGCCUGGACAGAGUUCUUCUGCAUACACAUCAGCUGAUCUGCCUGGGCAGUGAUCCAUCAACUCAUUUUCCAGGAAUGGUCUCUUACAAUCUCAGUUAAAACUGUUAGUAGGAUAUGUAGGAUCUACAUGGAUGGGAGGUGUGUGAGGUGAAACAGCAUUUUAGAAAUCUGUUUGUUUUUUCCCCUACCACUUAACAUCAAGAAGCAUUCCUUAUUUCUGGCAAGCUCUUUAACACCUAUCUUACAGGAAUUAUCCAAGCAGUCAGGAUUCUGAGGAGUAGACAUCAGCAGUAAUAUGGCAAACUAGAAUACAAGUUCUGAAUGAUGUUUGAGAAACAUUUGUGCAUGGCAGUGAGGAGCAGCGGGGCUCUCAUUUCUGAGCCCUGGUGAUUACUGGGUACAGCUAGCAGCACUGUUCUGUGCUGCCCAGAGCAGGCAACCACUGUGAAGGGUCACUGCAGAAAGCAAUGAGUAUAGGUCCUAAGGGGAUGCAAUGCAAAUAACAGAUAUAUUGGCAUACGUGAGAAGCAGCAAAAGAAAAACAGCCACAAGAAAGAGAUAACUUGAUAGAGCACAGAAAUAAUUUUUUCACAGGUCAUGUGAAUAACUGUAGUGUUUUUCAUUAUUUCAAAUAUCUGGACUCACUGAAUGGCUCAGACUUUGAAGUCCUUGUUUUUGUUGUCUCAGAGCACAGUGCAGAGUGGUCUCCUUUGGACAAUGUGCUGUUGGUGAAAACUGCCUGGAGGGUAAUUUAUGUGGGUAAUGAGAAAACAUAGCGUGCUAAAAAACAAGGUUUGGGGUUGAUGUUUUUUUUAAUAGAAAGCCACUCUCUAGGAUAGACAUCAGUGUCAGGUUGGUGGGGUUGGGAAGGCUGUGGCCAUCCUUGCACUCAGUUCCUGUACCUGGCUUCCCUUUGUUUUAUCUGCAGUUUCUCAGAAGUACUACUACAGAUGGCCAAUGGAUCAUGUUUCUUUCUCAUCUGAUGAUCUAUUGCAAAUUUGUGUUACUUUUCUUUCACAUUUCCUUUCAUUUAUUUUCAAAGUAAAAAGAAAUGCAUAUGCCUUGAGAGGGGAAGUUGUGGUUUUGGUGGUGUCUGUGCAUUGCAUUGAUAGAUGGACUCUUAAAGGCUUGUAAUGGCAAACCAGGGAACUAUCAUCCUGGGAAGUUUCAGAGCAUUAACAGGUUCCAGACCUGGCAUUCAGGAGGCUCAAAGCCAUAUACAUUGAUAAAAAUAAGUGUACCUUGGAGUACAUUACUGGUUAUGAUCAAAUCAGUGACUCCACAAAAAACACAUUGCCUUUGCAACCUGAAAGAGGUAUAUUCUUUGUCCUUCAGUUCCUGAACUCAUGCAAUAACUGAAAACAUUUUGCUUUCAGAGUGUCAUAAGCAGAAGUUGAUGCUACAUAUGUAACAGGUAUAUGCUGUUUUCUGGCUUAUUUUUAUUUUCUAUUUUUCUACUGCUGCUUUAUUUUUACUUUGGAGGAUAUUUUAAAUUAGUUGCAUUUUACCCUUUUUCAGGAUGUGUGAAAUAAUUGCCUAAAUGUCAGAUCUUGUCUCUGCUGAGAAAAAAGUUAACAUUAUGAUUCUUGCAGGUAGAUCACCAACAUGACUGACACUGUUUAUUGUACUUCUGUUUUUAGAAUAAUAUAUAAAUGCUCUAUGUGUGAUACUGUGUUUACUCUACAACCUCUGCUCUAUCGCCACUUCGAUCAGCACAUUGAAAACCAGAAAGUGUCUGUUUUCAAGUGUCCAGACUGUUCUCUUUUGUAUGCACAGAAACAGCUUAUGAUGGAUCAUAUCAAGUCUAUGCAUGGAACUUUGAAAAGCGUGGAAGGGCCACCAAACCUGGGAAUAAAUUUGCCUCUGAGUACGAAAUCCACAAAUCAGAACUCAGCCAGUCACAACAGAGAGGACACAAGAUCUGUCAACAGAACAGAAAAGUUAAAGAGGAAAUCUCCUAUAAAGAAAGGAGAACCUAAAAAAGUCACAAGUCAUGGCUGGACAUGUUGGGAUUGUGAUAGGUUCUUCACUCAGAGAGACGUUUACAUCUCCCACAUGAGGAAGGAACAUGGAAAGGUAAAUGAAUAUUUAAUUAAAAAUAUGAGUUAAGCCUGGAA